rnacentral:rRNA from 1 species
UACAGAGGGUGCAAGCGUUGUUCGGAAUUAUUGGGCGUAAAGGGCGCGUAGGCGGUGCGGUAAGUCUGUAGUGAAAUCUCUGGGCUCAACUCAGAGUCUGCUGCAGAAACUGCCGUGCUUGAGUGUGGGAGAGGUGAGUGGAAUUCCCGGUGUAGCGGUGAAAUGCGUAGAUAUUGGGAGGAACACCAGUGGCGAAGGCGGCUCACUGGACCGGUUCUGACGCUGAGGCGCGAAAGCGUGGGGAGCAAACGGG